UGUCCGAGGGGACACAGGAGGCCGCCGGCUCGAGGGAGCCUGGUGAGAGCAAAGUAUCCCUGCACGCAGCUCCCUGCCGCUGGGCAGAGGGGUGCUGGGGGUCUGCCUGCGGCGGAGAGGGGAGGUGGGGGCACGCAGGGGCUCCCCAGCCGCCGCGGGCAGGGCCCCUCUGCUCCUUGGCCAGGGGGCCGCGGUUGGGCUGUGGCUGCCUGCUGGCACCGCUGGGCCUGCACUGCCCCUUCCCCUCCACGGCCUCCGGCCCUGCCCCUCAGCUGGCACGGCCGGCACAGAGCAGCCCCUGGGGCAGCCCCUGGGGGCACCUGGCCCCGCAAGGUGCUCACUGCUGUUACUCUCUCCUCUCCAGCAUGCGUGCUCUGUGGCCGAGUUGAUGAGGACUCGAUCAUACAUGGGCACAAACAUGAGGAUAAUGGGUUCUACUUCCAUACUUUUUGCGUGGUGAGUUCCCUUCUGCCACCUUCCACCAAGGAAUGGUUCCCUCCUUUCUGCCCUAACAAGGUCUUUCUCCUUGUACAGAUAUUUGCCAGUGGUCUUUGUCAACCAGGAAAAGAUAACAGAAAUGCAAGUUUUUAUGCAGAAGACAUGAUACGCACAGUGAGGCAGGCAGAGCAGACGGUGAGCACUGAAUCGGAACAGGGAGCUUUGUGCCAGGAGAGGCACGGCGAGCUCAGCCUGGUCCCAAGGAAGCAAUCCCGGCCCUUCCAACCAGCCCCAGGAGAAAGUCCUGCUCUUGCAGACGAGCCCUGUUCACCAGGCAGCUCUGCAGAGUGCCACCCAGCCCUGCCCGCACGCUGUGCCCUGCCCAGAGGUGCGGGGCCCGCUGCGUAGGCCCUGAGCCUGCUGCUGAUGGGGGCUGCUCUGCUCUUUCCAGCUCUGCUUCGUUUGUGGCAAUUCAGGGGCCACCAUCACCUGUGCAGAGACGGGCUGCGACCGCAGCUUCCACUUCCCCUGCACCUCAAAGGGUGACUGCAUCAACCAGUACUUUGUAGAGUUCAGGUAAGAGCUGCCAGGCGUCACCUGUGGGCCUCCAACCUCUGCUGUCAGGACCAGUCAAAGCAGUGAGGAACGCACUGUGACACCUCCCAGCAGCCUGACAGAGCCAGAGCCAAGGCCUGGGGCUCCUUCCUGUUCCUCUGCCCUCCUCGCAGCACUUCUCACCUUGCCCAUCCCUCCCAUCUUCCUCCAGGUCCUUCUGCUGGGAGCACCGCCCGCAGCAGGCAGUGGAGGCAGCACCGACGCAGGACACGACCUGCAUCAUCUGCAUGGAGCCCGUGGGGGACAGCAGGUCGUACUGCAUCAUGGUGUGCCGAGCCUGCCAACAAGCCUGGUUCCACCAGGCCUGCAUCCAGGUAGGAGCCCUCCCCUCGCCCCGGGGGUACCACAGGCGCUCAGCAGCACCAGGCCCAGCUCACACUCACCCUGCUUGUGUUUCUGCUGCAGGGAAUGGCCAAGAGUGCUGGGCUGCGCUGCUUCCAGUGCCCGCUCUGCCGUGACAGAGACAAGUUCAUUCAAGAAAUGAUCAACCUGGGGAUCCACAUCCCAGUCAGGUUGGUGCCCUUCAUCCAGCUCUCAAGAUGUGAGGGCACAAGAGCUGUGCCCUGCCCAAGGACUGGCCCUUUGGUGCAGGGAUGGCCUUGGUCUGUCUUAGUCUAGAGGCACUUUCAGCUCAUCACAUUCCCUCCCUUCUCUGGCAGAAAACCAAAGUGGGAGACCAACCGUGCCUACGCAUCCCUGGG
rnacentral:lncRNA from 7 species